rnacentral:rRNA from 1 species
GUGGCGCACGGGUGCGUAACGCGUGGGGAUCUACCAUAGGGUGCGGAAUAACUCAGAGAAAUUUGAGCUAAUACCGCAUAAUGUCUUCGGACCAAAGAUUUAUCGCCCUUUGAUGAACCCGCGUAGGAUUAGCUUGUUGGUGAGGUAAAGGCUCACCAAGGCGACGAUCUUUAGCUGGUCUGAGAGGAUGAUCAGCCACACUGGGACUGAGACACGGCCCAGACUCCUACGGGAGGCAGCAGUGGGGAAUAUUGGACAAUGGGCGAAAGCCUGAUCCAGCAAUGCCGCGUGAGUGAUGAAGGCCUUAGGGUUGUAAAGCUCUUUUACCAGGGAUGAUAAUGACAGUACCUGGAGAAUAAGCUCCGGCUAACUCCGUGCCAGCAGCCGCGGUAAUACGGAGGGAGCUAGCGUUGUUCGGAAUUACUGGGCGUAAAGCGCGCGUAGGCGGUUACUCAAGUCAGAGGUGAAAGCCCGGAGCUCAACUCCGGAACUGCCUUUGAAACUAGGUGACUAGAAUCUUGGAGAGGCGAGUGGAAUUCCGAGUGUAGAGGUGAAAU